CGGACGGGUGAGUAAUGUCUGGGAAACUGCCCGAUGGAGGGGGAUAACUACUGGAAACGGUAGCUAAUACCGCAUAACGUCGCAAGACCAAAGAGGGGGACCUUCGGGCCUCUUGCCAUCGGAUGUGCCCAGAUGGGAUUAGCUAGUAGGUGGGGUAACGGCUCACCAAGGCGACGAUCCCUAGCUGGUCUGAGAGGAUGACCAGCCACACUGGAACUGAGACACGGUCCAG
rnacentral:rRNA from 1 species